AGCAUAUCAAUAAGCGGAGGAAAAGAAACCAACAGGGAUUGCCUCAGUAACGGCGAGUGAAGCGGCAACAGCUCAAAUUUGAAAUCUGGCCCUAGGCCCGAGUUGUAAUUUGCAGAGGAUGCUUUUGGUGCGGUGCCUUCCAAGUUCCCUAGAACGGGACGCCAGAGAGGGUGAGAGCCCCGUACAGUUGGACACCAAGCCUUUGUAAAGCUCCUUCGACGAGUCGAGUAGUUUGGGAAUGCUGCUCAAAAUGGGAGGUAUAUUUCUUCUAAAGCUAAAUACCGGCCAGAGACCGAUAGCGCACAAGUAGAGUGAUCGAAAGAUGAAAAGCACUUUGAAAAGAGGGUUAAACAGCACGUGAAAUUGUUAAAAGGGAAGCGCUUGUGACCAGACUUGCGUCCGGUGAAUCACCCAGCUCUCGCGGCUGGGGCACUUCGCCGGCUCAGGCCAGCAUCAGCUCGCUGUCGGGGACAAAAGCUUCAGGAACGUAGCUCUCUUCGGGGAGUGUUAUAGCCUGUUGCACAAUACCCUUCGGCGGGCUGAGGUACGCGCUCCGCAAGGAUGCUGGCAUAAUGGUCAUCAGCGACCCGUCUUGAAACACGGACCAAGGAGUCAACCUUAUGUGCGAGUGUUCGGGUGUCAAACCCCUACGCGUAAUGAAAGUGAACGCAGGUGAGAGCUUCGGCGCAUCAUCGACCGAUCCUGAUGUUCUCGGAUGGAUUUGAGUAAGAGCAUAUAGGGUUGGACCCGAAAGAAGGUGAACUAUGCGUGUAUAGGGUGAAGCCAGAGGAAACUCUGGUGGAGGCUCGCAGCGGUUCUGACGUGCAAAUCGAUCGUCAAAUAUGCGCAUGGGGGCGAAAGACUAAUUGAACCUUCUAGUAGCUGGUUCCGC
rnacentral:rRNA from 1 species